UACAUGAUGGAGAGUUUGAUCCUGGCUCAGGACGAACGCUGGCGGCGUGGAUUAGGCAUGCAAGUCGAACGGUAUGGUGCUUUCGGGCAUCAGAGAGUGGCGAACGGGUGAGUAACACG
rnacentral:rRNA from 1 species